rnacentral:rRNA from 1 species
ACGAACGCUGGCGGCCUGCCUCACCCAUGCCAGUCGCACGAGACCUUCGGGUCUAGUGGCGCACGGGUGCGUAACGCGUGGGAACCUGCCCUUAGGUUCGGAAUAACUCCCCGAAAGGGGUGCUAAUACCGGAUAAUGUCUUCGGACCAAAGAUUUAUCGCCUUUGGAUGGGCCCGCGUUGGAUUAGCUAGUUGGUAGGGUAAAAGCCUACCAAGGCGACGAUCCAUAGCUGGUCUGAGAGGAUGAUCAGCCACACUGGGACUGAGACACGGCCCAGACUCCUACGGGAGGCAGCAGUGGGGAAUAUUGGACAAUGGGCGAAAGCCUGAUCCAGCAAUGCCGCGUGAGUGAUGAAGGCCUUAGGGUUGUAAAGCUCUUUUACCCGGGAUGAUAAUGACAGUACCGGGAGAAUAAGCGCCGGCUAACUCCGUG